AGUGAACGCUGGCGGUAGGCCUAACACAUGCAAGUCGAACGGCAGCACAGUAAGAGCUUGCUCUUACGGGUGGCGAGUGGCGGACGGGUGAGGAAUACAUCGGCAUCUACUUUUUCGUGGGGGAUAACGUAGGGAAACUUACGCUAAUACCGCAUACGACCUACGGGUGAAAGCAGUGGAUCUUCGGACCUUGCGCGACUGAAUGAGCCGAUGUCGGAUUAGCUAGUUGGCGGGGUAAAGGCCCACCAAGGCAACGAUCCGUAGCUGGUCUGAGAGGAUGAUCAGCCACACUGGAACUGAGACACGGUCCAGACUCCUACGGGAGGCAGCAGUGGGGAAUAUUGGACAAUGGGCGCAAGCCUGAUCCAGCCAUACCGCGUGGGUGAAGAAGGCCUUCGGGUUGUAAAGCCCUUUUGUUAGGAAAGAAAAGCAGCAGGUUAAUACCCCGCUGUUCUGACGGUACCCAAAGAAUAAGCACCGGCUAACUUCGUG
rnacentral:rRNA from 1 species